rnacentral:rRNA from 1 species
GACGAACGCUGGCGGCGUGCCUAAUACAUGCAAGUAGAACGCUGAAGGAAGGAGCUUGCUCUUUCUGGAUGAGUUGCGAACGGGUGAGUAACGCGUAGGUAACCUGCCUGGUAGCGGGGGAUAACUAUUGGAAACGAUAGCUAAUACCGCAUAAAAUUGAUUAUUGCAUGAUAGUCAAUUAAAAGGUGCAACUGCACCACUACCAGAUGGACCUGCGUUGUAUUAGCUAGUUGGUGGGGUAACGGCUCACCAAGGCGACGAUACAUAGCCGACCUGAGAGGGUGAUCGGCCACACUGGGACUGAGACACGGCCCAGACUCCUACGGGAGGCAGCAGUAGGGAAUCUUCAGCAAUGGACGGAAGUCUGACCGAGCAACGCCGCGUGAGUGAAGAAGGUUUUCGGAUCGUAAAGCUCUGUUGUAAGAGAAGAACGAGUGUGAGAGUGGAAAGUUCACACUGUGACGGUAUCUUACCAGAAAGGGACGGCUAACUACGUG